rnacentral:sRNA from 1 species
GCUGGCUGUGGUGGUGCACACCUGUCAUCCCAAUGGCUCUGGAGGCUGAGGAAGGAGGAUUGAGAGUUCAAAGCCAGCCUUGGCAACUUAUUGAGACCCUGUCUCUA